rnacentral:rRNA from 1 species
GACGAACGCUGGCGGCGUGCUUAACACAUGCAAGUCGAACGGAAAGGCCCUGCUUUUGUGGGGUGCUCGAGUGGCGAACGGGUGAGUAACACGUGAGUAACCUGCCCUUGACUUUGGGAUAACUUCAGGAAACUGGGGCUAAUACCGGAUAUGAGCUCCUGCUGCAUGUUGGGGGCUGGAAAGUUUCGGCGGUUGGGGAUGGACUCGCGGCUUAUCAGCUUGUUGGUGGGGUAGUGGCUUACCAAGGCUUUGACGGGUAGCCGGCCUGAGAGGGUGACCGGCGACAUUGGGACUGAGAGACGGACCAGAGUCCUACGGGAGGCAGCAGGGGGGAAUAUUGCAGAAUGGGCGGAAGCCUGAUGCAGAAACGCGGCGUGCGGGAUGACGGCCUUCGGGUUGUAAACCGCUUUCGCCUGUGACGAAGCGUGAGUGACGGUAAUGGGUAAAGAAGCACCGGCUAACUACGUG